rnacentral:rRNA from 1 species
GGAAUGCGUAAUGUAGCGGUGAAAUGCAUAGAUUAUUACGCAGAACACCGAUCGCGAAAGCAGCUUCCUAGGCUAUUACUGACACUGAGGCACGAAAGCGUGGGGAGCGAACAGGAUUAGAUACCUGGUAGUCCACGCCGUAAACGAUGCUCACUCGCUGUUGGCGAUAUAUUGUCAGCAGUUAAGCUAAAGCAUUAAGUGAGCCACCUGGGAAGUACGUCCGCAAGGAUGAGACUCAAAGGAAUUGACGGGGGCCCGCACAACCGGUGGAACAUGUGGUUCAAUUCGAUGAUACGCGAGGAACCUUACCUGGGCUUAAAUGUAGUUUGACUUCCGCCGAAAGGCGGUUUUCCUUCGGGACAAAUUACAAGGUGCUGCACGGCUGUCGUCAGCUCGUGCCGUGAGGUAUCGGGUUAAGUCCCUUAACGAGCGCAACCCCUAUUGUUAGUUACCAACAGGUUAAGCUGGGGACUCUAGCAAAACUGCCAGCGUAAGCUGGAGGAAGGUGGGGAUGACGUCAAGUCAGCAUGGCCCUUAUGUCCAGGGCUACACACGUGUUACAAUGGCCGAUACAAAGGGCAGCCACCACGCGAGUGGGAGCUAAUCCUUAAAAUCGGUCUCAGUUCGGAUCGAAGUCUGCAAUUCGACUUCGUGAAGGUGGAAUCGGUAGUAAUCGCGCAUCAGCAAUGGCGCGGUGAAUACGUUCCCGGGCCUUGUACACACUGCCCGUCAAGCCAUGGAAAUUGGUGUUGCCUGAAGUCCGUAACCAUCCAGGAGCGGCCUAAGGCAAAACUGAUAACUGGGGCUAAGUCGUAACAAGGUAACCAAGGGCGAA